GACGAACGCUGGCGGCGUGCUUAACACAUGCAAGUCGAACGGUGAAGGUGGAGCUCGCUCCGCCGGAUCAGUGGCGAACGGGUGAGUAACACGUGGGCAACCUGCCCCUCACUUCGGGAUAACUCCGGGAAACCGGGGCUAAUACCGAAUACGACCUCCUUGGGCAUCCCGGGAGGUGGAAAGUUUUUCGGUGAGGGAUGGGCCCGCGGCCUAUCAGCUUGUUGGUGAGGUAACGGCUCACCAAGGCGACGACGGGUAGCCGGCCUGAGAGGGCGACCGGCCACACUGGGACUGAGACACGGCCCAGACUCCUACGGGAGGCAGCAGUGGGGAAUAUUGCGCAAUGGGCGAAAGCCUGACGCAGCAACGCCGCGUGCGGGAUGAAGGCCUUCGGGUUGUAAACCGCUUUCAGCAGGGAAGAAGCCGCAAGGUGACGGUACCUGCAGAAGAAGCACCGGCUAACUACGUGCCAGCAGCCGCAGUAA
rnacentral:rRNA from 1 species